rnacentral:lncRNA from 1 species
GUGGACUACUGGGAUCUAUAUGUUCUUUGAGACUUCUCAUUAAUGAACCCUAACUUUCUCUUACUUAUGAGGGCAUACUUCAUAAAUCUAGCCUAAAAAUGGUAUUUUACUAGAGUUUAGUGACUAGUAAGACUUCAGAGUUCUUAUUGGCUCCAAUAUAAUAUGCAUUACUAGACGCAAGUGAUCAUGUACCACUUUAUUCGACAUAUUUGGAUUUGAAUCGUAUUUAAAAUGGACUUACCCUUCUCC